rnacentral:sRNA from 1 species
AUUCUACCCAUGUGGGGAAGGAUGAGAAGCUUCGACUAAGGUUCGAUUCGAGCGCAGCGAGAAAGCGUUGCCGCAGGCAACGACCCGAAGGGCGAAGCGCGCAGCGCUGAGUAAUCCUUCCCCUACCACCA